GGGAAAAGAUGCUUUAAAGAAAAUAGAAAAGGAGGAAAGGAAAAAGAGGUUUAAAAAAGCAAGAAAAAUUCAGAAAGGUAUAAGGGGAAAAGAAAGUAUAAGAGAGGGAAGGAAGGAAGGAAAGAAGGAAGGAAGGAAGGAAGGAAGGAAGGAAGGAAGGAAGGAAGGAAGGAAGGAAGGAAGGAAAGAAAGAAAGAAAGAAAGAAAGAAAGAGAGAGAGAGAGAGAGAGAGAGAGAGAAAGAAAGAAAGAAAGAAAGAAAGAAAGAAAGAAAGAAAGAAAGAAAGAAAGAAAGAAAGGAGGGAAAGAAAGAAAGAAAGAAAGAAAGAAAGAAAGAAAGAAAGAAAGAAAGAAAGAAAGAAAGAAAGAAAGAAAGAAAGGAAAGAAAGAAGGAAAGAAAGAAAGGAAGAAAGAAAGAAAGAAAGAAGGGAAGGAAGGAAGGAAGGAAAGGAAAGGAAGGAACGAAAGAAGGAACGACAGGAAAGGAAGGAACGAAAGGAAAGAAAGAAAGGAAGGAAAGGAAGGAAGAAAGAAAGAACAGA
rnacentral:lncRNA from 1 species